UUAUAAGAGACGUCCUCUAACGUUGAUCAACAACAGCAAAAGUAGCGUGAAGUGGAGACCAAGACUUUUCUUAUAGUGUGGAGACCAAAACUUCCAUUUGAGAAAAGACUUGAGAUAUCAUCUCGGCACAAGUUGGGUGAUAAUGAUUAACCAAUCAUCUCGUCAUCUUGAUAGGCAUCCCACCCACCUUCACAAGAUCACUUCUUCACAUCGAAGGUGCUUUGAUCUCCUUAAGCUUGGACCUCGACAAAGACGUUUUGAUCUCGUUUGACGUCUCCUACUCA
rnacentral:lncRNA from 1 species